UACGUAGGGUGCAAGCGUUGUCCGGAAUUAUUGGGCGUAAAGAGCUCGUAGGCGGUUUGUCGCGUCUGCUGUGAAAACCCGAGGCUCAACCUCGGGCCUGCAGUGGGUACGGGCAGACUAGAGUGCGGUAGGGGAGAUUGGAAUUCCUGGUGUAGCGGUGGAAUGCGUAGAUAUCAGGAGGAACACCGAUGGCGAAGGCAGAUCUCUGGGCCGUAACUGACGCUGAGGAGCGAAAGCAUGGGGAGCGAAACAGG
rnacentral:rRNA from 1 species